GAGGGUAUAGCUCAGUGGUAGAAUACAUGUUUGGCAUGCACAAGGUCCUGGGUUCAAUGCCCAAUACCUCCA
rfam:Camelus ferus unplaced genomic scaffold scaffold450, whole genome shotgun sequence.